AUUGAACGCUGGCGGCAGGCCUAACACAUGCAAGUCGAGCGGAUGAAGGGAGCUUGCUCCUGGAUUCAGCGGCGGACGGGUGAGUAAUGCCUAGGAAUCUGCCUGGUAGUGGGGGAUAACGUCCGGAAACGGGCGCUAAUACCGCAUACGUCCUGAGGGAGAAAGUGGGGGAUCUUCGGACCUCACGCUAUCAGAUGAGCCUAGGUCGGAUUAGCUAGUUGGUGGGGUAAAGGCCUACCAAGGCGACGAUCCGUAACUGGUCUGAGAGGAUGAUCAGUCAUACUGGAACUGAGACACGGACCAGACUCCUACGGGAGGCAGCAGUGGGGAAUAUUGGACAAUGGGCGAAAGCCUGAUCCAGCCAUGCCGCGUGUGUGAAGAAGGUCUUCGGAUUGUAAAGCACUUUAAGUUGGGAGGAAGGGCAGUAAGUUAAUACCUUGCUGUUUUGACGUUACCAACAGAAUAAGCACCGGCUAACUUCGUG
rnacentral:rRNA from 1 species